GCAAACCUUUCAUCAUAUGGGGCGGCCCUCUCCCAUCCCCAUCGUCCACUAUCCUCCUGUUGCUCUUCUCUAUCCUGCAGUGCGCAGCCCUAUCUGCUGUCUUCCUCCGUUCACGAUGUACGCCGCCCUUCCCGCCGUCGAUUGAUCUCCACCUCCUGUCAAACAAUUUUCGAGAGAAAGACGGCACACGGCAUGAGCGGAGGAAGGCAGUUGAUAGAGCUGCGCACUGUAGCAUGGAGAAGAGUAACGGGAGGACGGCGGGGAUGGAAGAGGGUUGCAGGGAUGGGAGGGCAGCAAACGGUGGCCGAUGGGAUGGAGAAGAAAGGCUUCUCUUUCAUUGCAUUUAAAAAUCGGACGUGGAAAAAAAACCCAAUAAAUUUGAGCGCAGCAGUUUAGAUCUAACUCUUCUUUACAGAUCCCAAAGCACGAUCUGCUACCAAAUAGUUGGGCUUGCAACCCGAACCCUCCCAUAGCACCAUGGUCUAUAUGCAGGCGACACAACAAUAAUACAGUAGAUUGGUUGCAGCGAAGGAUUCGCGUGGAUUCGUGUCUUAACUUCGGCUCUUUCCCGUCCACCGCCCCUGGCCGUAGAAGGCGUCAUCUACUGCAAGUCAUGCAUGCUUCCGGGCUAUGACAAGUCCAUCAACGCCUCACCGCCCCUGGCCGUAGAAGGCGUUAUCUACUGCAAGUCAUGCAUGCUUCCGGGCUAUGACAAGUCCAUCAAUGCCUCUCCUUUGCCUGGUUUGAUCAUCAUACUCCAAGCUUGAUUUGAGAAUCUGACAAGCAAACUGUCGGUCAGCUGAUAAGAGCUCGGUUCGCCGAGUAUGUGAAGCUGACAAGCCAACGUCUCUUCAUAAGGUUUUUUUUUAGCUGAACGGUGACAUAAUCACCACCAGUUUAUCAGAUGAAAUGAUACAGAAGACUUCUGCCGGAAGAGCUCCCACUACAAGCAGAAAAUUAUCCCUCACAGUUCAAAAGAGGGCAAGCAAAGAGAAGAUCCUCACAGCCUGAGCACUAGCGCAUCACAGACCCUAGUACCGAUAACAGAUGAAGUUCCAGCAGGCUGCAUCUGGUGUAAAACAGAGUGGCGGAGAGCAAGAGCUUGGAUUUCUUCCGCCCAAUGGUACUCCAAUGAAAGUUCCAGCAGCAGGAAAGCUAUUAAUAACAUUGUUUAUGCCUUCAGAUUCAAACUUGCAUGGAUAAAAGAAGUAUAAAUAAACAGGAAGUCCACAUUCGGUACAUAUUUCUUGCCGGGCUUAUGCAGGAAUAGAUCAUUAUGAGAAUCAAAUAUUGACACAAAUAACAAGAGAGAAGC